rnacentral:rRNA from 1 species
CUAGUUCGGAUUGUAGGCUGAAACUCGCCUACAUGAAGCUGGAAUUGCUAGUAAUCACAGGUCAACAUACUGUGGUGAAUACGUUCCCGGGCCUUGUACACACCGCCCGUCACACCAUGAGAGUUGAGAAUACCCGAAGCCCAUGUCAAAGUGGUCGAAGGUAGGCUUGAUGAUUGGGGUGAAGUCGUAACAAGGUAAC